rnacentral:rRNA from 1 species
GAUGAACGCUGGCGGCGUGCUUAACACAUGCAAGUCGAACGAAGCACUUUAUUUGAUUUCCUUCGGGACUGAUUAUUUUGUGACUGAGUGGCGGACGGGUGAGUAACGCGUGGGUAACCUGCCUUGUACAGGGGGAUAACAGUUGGAAACGGCUGCUAAUACCGCAUAAGCGCACAGCAUCGCAUGAUGCAGUGUGAAAAACUCCGGUGGUAUAAGAUGGACCCGCGUUGGAUUAGCUAGUUGGUGAGGUAACGGCCCACCAAGGCGACGAUCCAUAGCCGACCUGAGAGGGUGACCGGCCACAUUGGGACUGAGACACGGCCCAAACUCCUACGGGAGGCAGCAGUGGGGAAUAUUGCACAAUGGGCGAAAGCCUGAUGCAGCGACGCCGCGUGAGCGAAGAAGUAUUUCGGUAUGUAAAGCUCUAUCAGCAGGGAAGAUAAUGACGGUACCUGACUAAGAAGCACCGGCUAAAUACGUGCCAGCAGCCGCGGUAAUACGUAUGGUGCAAGCGUUAUCCGGAUUUACUGGGUGUAAAGGGAGCGCAGGCGGUGCGGCAAGUCUGAUGUGAAAGCCCGGGGCUCAACCCCGGUACUGCAUUGGAAACUGUCGUACUAGAGUGUCGGAGGGGUAAGCGGAAUUCCUAGUGUAGCGGUGAAAUGCGUAGAUAUUAGGAGGAACACCAGUGGCGAAGGCGGCUUACUGGACGA